UGUGAAGAAGGCCUGCGGGUUGUAAAGCACUUUUAGUGGGGACAAAAAUCUACGGAUUAAUACUCUGUGGUCUUGAUUUAUCCCUGACAAAAAGCCCCGGCUAACUCUGUGCCAGCAGCCGCGGUAAUACUUAUGGUGCUAGCGUUAAUCUAAAUUACUGGGCGUAAAGCGCGCGUAAACGGUUUUGUAAGUCAGAUGUGAAAUCCCUGGGCUCAACCUGGGAACUGCAUUUGAGACUGCAUGGCUUGAGUAUCGAACAGGGAAGUGGAAUUUCCGGUGUAGCGGUGAAAUGCGUAGAUAUCGGAAGGAACACCAGUGGCGAAAGCGACUUCCUGGUCCAAUACUGACGUUCAUGUGCAAAAGCGUGGGGAGCAAACAGGAUUAAAUACCCUGGUAGUCCACGCCAUAAACGAUGACAACUAGAUGUUGGGAGGGUCUGCCUCUCGGUGUCCCAGCUAACGCGUUAAGUUGUCCGCCUGGGGAGUACGGCCGCGAGGUUGAAACUCAAAGGAAUUGACGG
rnacentral:rRNA from 1 species